UCGUGAUGAAACCUAAACUGAUGAUGCUGGAAUUACCGUCAGACUGUUCGCUGGUGAACCUUGGUUUUCUGAAU